rnacentral:rRNA from 1 species
UACAUGUGGGGCAAGCGUUGUUCGGAAUUACUGGGCAUAAAGGGUGCGUAGGCGGUUUGUUAAGUCACUGGUGAAAGUUUUCGGCCCAACCGGAAAAUUGCCUGUGAUACUGGCGAACUUGAGUGCGUGAGGGGUGGGGGAACGAGCAGUGUAGCGGUGAAAUGCGUAGAUAUCCGGAGGAACACCGGUGGCGAAGGCGGCUUCCUGGACCGAUACUGACGCUGAGGCGCGAAAGCUAGGGGAGCAAACGGG